AUUGAACGCUGGCGGCAGGCCUAACACAUGCAAGUCGAGCGGAUGAAGGGAGCUUGCUCCUGGAUUCAGCGGCGGACGGGUGAGUAAUGCCUAGGAAUCUGCCUGGUAGUGGGGGAUAACGUCCGGAAACGGGCGCUAAUACCGCAUACGUCCUGAGGGAGAAAGUGGGGGAUCUUCGGACCUCACGCUAUCAGAUGAGCCUAGGUCGGAUUAGCUAGUUCGUGGGGUAAAGGCCUACCAAGGCGACGAUCCGUAACUGGUCUGAGAGGAUGAUCAGUCACACUGGAACUGAGACACGGUCCAGACUCCUACGGGAGGCAGCAGUGGGGAAUAUUGGACAAAGGGCGAAAGCCUGAUCCAGCCAUGCCGCGUGUGUGAAGAAGGUCUUCGGAUUGUAAAGCACUUUAAGUUGGGAGGAAGGGCAGUAAGUUAAUACCUUGCUGUUUUGACGUUACCAACAGAAUAAGCACCGGCUAACUUCGUG
rnacentral:rRNA from 1 species